GCGGCGCUGCAAGUGUUGCCCCCUCCUCCCCAAGGGCAAGGUGAAGGAAGGUGCAUGUGUGGUUCUUCUACAGCUCGCAGCGAGGAUUGCUGUGUCCAACCUGCACAAGAAUGCCAAGAAGUCCUUCUCGGAGACGAUUAAGGACAUGUACCUGCACUACAACGAUAGAUCUGGGCUGCUUCUUUGUGGCUUCCAAACUUGAAAUGUUAGUUUGGAAGUUAGUUUAGUUUUUUUGUUGUGGAUUCACAGCUUCUCACAUGUACCGUCCUCUUAGACCUUUAGAUUUCCAAAGAAACUAAAUGAAGAUAUGGUGGUAUGGUCUCAAUAGUACAACUUAAAGCCUUCCAUGCUUUAUAUUUUCUCUGAAAUUUGCUCU